UGAAUUAAGAGAGAGAAUUCAUUUUCAUCUACUAACACUCCCCAAAGUUGAAUUAAGAGAGAGAAUUCAUUUUCAUCUUCAACCAAAGUUGAAAAGUAAAGAAAGAGAGAGAGAGAGAGAGAACCAUUCGGCCAUGGCUAUGGCAGAUUUAUGAAGCCACGACCAGCCCUCCUCUUCACUACUAAUUGAUAAUUUUCAAGUUGAAUUGAAAAAAGGAGUGGAAACUACAAUAGCCAUGGCAGCUCACGGCCAUGGCAACUCUUGACCAGCCCAAGUUUUUGAUAGCAAGGAAUUAAAUUUUAGGUUGAAGUGCUAAUCGAGAUGAGUUUAAAUUAUUAAGUUGGUACGGACGACAAGCGGUACGGAUACUCGAUUUGGUGAUCCUCUAGCUUAGGACUCCUACUCAGCUGCCUUGGAGAGCUCCAUUGUUCCGGAGCCUACACUUUUGGUACAGAUCUUUUGAUGUAUAUAUGUUUAUCCAAGGGCAUGGCGGGGCCUUGUCCCAUCAUAUUUCCUUACCGAUACUCUUAGUGGUCUGUAGACAUAUGUGUGGGUUGUGUAUAAGUUUUGCUCAGUUGUGUCUAUCUGAUUUGCUAUGGAUAUGUUCAUAUGUAGUGGCCGCCUUAUCGGCUUGCGUACUGUAUUGGUAUACGUAAUGGCAGCCUUGUCGGCUUGCGUAUCAUAUGAUGAUUUGGUUAACUGUGACUCCUCAGGAGACAGGUUCAUGAUAUGUGUCAUUAUAAAUCCUUAGUUGCUUAUUAAGCUUCCUACAGUUCCUGGUUUCAGUCUGACAAUAUGUAACAAGUUUGUAUACGGGUGUCCGGUUCGGGCACUAGUCACGGCCCAUGGGGUUGGGUCGUGACAGAAGAGAUAUGUACUGAGUAUGCAAAGCAAGAAAUACAAUGACUAAGUCCGAGAUGAUAUGAUGAUGAUGAUGUAAUGAUGUUACCUUUAUGGAUUAAGGGGCUGUUCUUGUUGGAUUAAAUGGAUGGAAUUAGCUGAGUUAUGAUGCAUCAUAAUUGUUGAUAUUGUUGAUAAGUUGCGGUUCUUGAAUUUGGGAGAAUAAAGUGUAUGAAGAUAUCAUAUACAAAGCGUAUACCGGGCUGUUUGGUAUAGUUUUCGUGGCUGUUUUGUGACAAUAUUUUGGGGCUGUUUUAUAUGAUUUUCGUGGCUGUUUUGUGACGAUAUUUUGGGGCUAUUUUAUAUGAUUUUCGUGGCUGUUUUGUGACGAUAUUUUGGGGCUGUUUUAUAUGAUCUUCGUGGUUAUUUUCUGACGAUAUUUUGGGGUUGUUUGGUAUGAUAUUUGUGGCUGUUUUGCGAUGAUAUUUUAGGGACUAUUUGGUGGUUGUUAUGAACUGUUUUGUGGGCAGGAAUAUCGGGGGAUUGGCUGUAGUUGUUGUUGUUGUUGUUGUUAUACUAUGGAUAUACGGAAAUAAAGAAGUGUAUAUAAGCAUUGGCAUCCGAAUGUAUAUUGGGCUGUUUUGGAAGUAAUUUAAGGAUGGAUUUAAUUCUAGUUUGAUAUGAAAUUGUUGGUAUUGUUGUUGUUGGUAUUUUGAUUGAUGUUUGGCUAAAUUGGAAUUUCAAGGAUUAUUAAGUUAGCAGGGAAAAUGCUACCCGAAUUUUGUUAAGUUUCAUUCGUACUUGGAUUGGUUAGUAAGUGAUGUGGAUAAUCUAACU